GACGAACGCUGGCGGCGUGCUUAACACAUGCAAGUCGAGCGGUAAGGCCCUUUCGGGGGUACACGAGCGGCGAACGGGUGAGUAACACGUGGGUGACCUGCCCUCAGCUCUGGGAUAAGCCUGGGAAACCGGGUCUAAUACUGGAUAUGACUCCAUGACGCAUGUUGUGGGGUGGAAAGCCUUGUGCGGCUGAGGAUGGGCCCGCGGCCUAUCAGCUUGUUGGUGGGGUGAUGGCCUACCAAGGCGACGAUCCGUAGCUGGUCUGAGAGGACGACCAGCCACACUGGGACUGAGACACGGCCCAGACUCCUACGGGAGGCAGCAGUGGGGAAUAUUGGACAAUGGGGGCAACCCUGAUCCAGCGACGCCGCGUGUGUGAAGAAGGCCUGCGGGUUGUAAAGCACUUUUAGUGGGGAUGAAAGACACAUGGCUAAUAUCCGUGUGUCUUGACCUAAACCC
rnacentral:rRNA from 1 species